UACGAAGGGGGCUAGCGUUGCUCGGAAUGACUGGGCGUAAAGGGCGCGUAGGCGGAUGGCACAGUCAGAUGUGAAAUUCCCGGGCUUAACCUGGGGGGCUGCAUUUGAUACGUGUUGUCUUGAGUUCGGAAGAGGGUCGUGGAAUUCCCAGUGUAGAGGUGAAAUUCGUAGAUAUUGGGAAGAACACCGGUGGCGAAGGCGGCGCCUGGUCCGACACUGACGCUGAGGCGCGAAAACGUGGGGG
rnacentral:rRNA from 1 species